GCCACCGUUUGCGUGCCGGAGGGUUUCACGAGGCCGGCCGUUGGCCUCCAUGGCCAUGGGCCAAUGAUUUAACUCCAUCUUCACGGACCUCCUCCUGCCCUGAGCGGCGCGCACCCCCACCUUUUUCAGUCUGAAUUCUCUUCUCCGCGAGGUGGUCGUGGACUGAGUCGGCUCCUCCCAGAUGCCGGGGACAGCAGGGCAGCAGUCCUGCUGCCUGCUUACUUUGCUUCUCCACAUAUCUGCUUUUAUUUUGUCCUCCAAUCUCCUGUGUGGAGACUGUAGAUGAUGCCCUGAUUCAUGUCCUCUGUUCAUCUUCUUUGUCUUGCAUCUUCAUCAAUAUUUUCUUCGCGUGGUUGUCUUGAGGGUUCAUGUGCUUUGGUUCCUAAGUGGUCAGUGUGUUGUUGGCCCCCGGUGAACUGUCUCCUUCAGCUUGGCAUCCUCCGCUGUCGAGCCGGACAGGCCUGGAGCCGGAGUGUUCUAGGACGGUUAGGCCUCCUGUUGUUGGACGAGAAAGGCGGGGCAGAUCCCCUGCUCCGGGGCGGGCUGCUUUUUUCCGCGCCACCUUCGCGCUUACUUGAGGCAAGGCUUUAUGGCUUAUGGACUUCAGGAUAAACACAUGAAAAGCUCAGAUAUGAUUCUGCAGGCUGCAAAUUGUGUCGGUGGCAUUCAGUAAGCUCGCCAAGUUAUUCAGAACUCAAUUCUUAGAUGUUAGUUGUGUCGUCCUUCUCUGUGGGUUUGCACGCUAUUUACGCCCAUGAGCAGAAUCGACAUCAGGGAUCUCCAUACAUCCAUAUGCUCUUCGUCAGCCAGAGCCCUUUCAAUUGCCAAUUGCCAUGGUCUGCUGAAUUGAUUCAUUUGUUGAAAGAUCCAGUUCUUCUUAACUUACCUUUUAUUCCAUGUCGCCUCCUCCCACCAGCUAGAGCAGUCCACCAUAUAUGGAGAGUAUGGAGCACACGAAAUGGAGAAAACAAAUGCUACUGCAAUUUCUUGGGCUAGCUUGCCUCCUGAAAACUGAAUUGCUUUGAGAUUUGAUUGAAAGAUUUGCCUUUCCCGAUGGUCUUCGAUUGGUUAUUCAGUACUCUUGGAUUUUAUAGUGAUGUUGCCGCAACAAAGACAUUAGAUUUCUAUAGUGAACUGCGACAUACUCACAGUCCAGCUGAGAAAUUGAUAUUUAUUUUGUA